UACGUAGGUGACAAGCGUUGUCCGGAUUCAUUGGGCGUAAAGAGCGCGCAGGCGGCUUGGUAAGUCGGAUGUGAAAUCCCCGGGCUCAACCCGGGAACUGCGUCCGAUACUGGCAGGCUUGAAUUCGGGAGAGGGAUGCGGAAUUCCAGGUGUAGCGGUGAAAUGCGUAGAUAUCUGGAGGAACACCGGUGGCGAAGGCGGCAUCCUGGACCGAGGUGACGCUGAGGCGCGAAAGCCAGGGGAGCAAACAGG
rnacentral:rRNA from 1 species